rnacentral:rRNA from 1 species
UACGUAGGGGGCGAGCGUUGUCCGGAGUUACUGGGCGUAAAGCGCUUGUAGGCGGUCCACCAAGUUUGGGGUGACAGUUGCCGACUUAAUCGGCAAAGUGCCUCAAAGACUGGCGGACUUGAGGGCCACAGAGGGACAUGGAACUCCAGGUGUAGUGGUGAAAUGCGCAGAUAUCGGGAGGAACACCGGUGGCGAAGGCGGUUCUCUGGGCCUUACCUGACGCUGAGGAGCGAAAGCGUGGGGAGCGAACAGG